UACAGCUGAAUGUUAGCCGGCUUGCUAACACUAGCGCAUUCCCAGAAAUGUUAAUUAAUGUGUUGUGUCUUUUAUCAAUAA